rnacentral:misc_RNA from 1 species
UGGUAUAGUGGUAGCAUAGG